GUCCUAAAUAUUAGAUUGGUGCAAAAGUAAUUGUGGUUUUUGCCAUUACUGUCAAUGGUAAAAACUGCAAUUACUUUUGCAAAAUAUUAAGACA
rnacentral:miRNA from 10 species